CACUUUGAACCAUGAGACCCUCACAGGUGGUGUUCAGGUUGGAGGCAUAUGAAAAGCCCAACAUUAGUGACGUCAGCGUGGAGCUGCAGCAGUGAGCAGGAAACAGCUGCAGCUCUCUGACUCUGUGUGUUUGCAUACAUGUGUCCUCCUCUCUGCUUCCAGCCAUAAGAGGCUGCUGUCCAUCAGUGGCUGUCCAGGCCUUUCACACACACAUGAUGAUGUCACUGACUCUGCUGCUGGCCACCCUGGGGCUCCUUGUUCAGGCCUCAUCAGGAGAAAUCCUCCUGACUCAGUCUCCUGGAUCUCAGUCUGCUGUUCCAGGACAGACUGUCUCCAUCAGCUGUAAAGUCAGUUCAAGUGUUGGUUACAACCUCCAGUGGUACCUUCAGAAACCUGGAGAAGCUCCUAAACUCCUGAUUUAUAGUGCUUCAGGCCGUCAGUCUGGAGUUUCAGAUCGUUUCAGUGGCAGUGGAUCUGAUCCUGACUACACUCUGACCAUCAGUGGAGUUCAGGCUGAAGAUUCAGGAGUUUACUACUGUCAGCAGGACUACAACAAGCCGUUCACACAGUGGUGGUACACGUUCGGUGGAGGAACCAGACUGGAUGUUGGAAGUGAUGCCCCUCCCACCCUGACGGUGCUGCCCCCCUCCAGGGAGCAGCUGCAGCAGGGGACGGCCACGCUCAUGUGCCUGGCCAACAAGGGCUUCCCCUCAGACUGGAGUCUGUCCUGGAAGGUGGACGGCAGCAGCAGCAGCAGCAGCUGGGAGCAGAGCAGCAGCCCCGGGGUGCUGGAGAAGGACGGCCACUACAGCUGGAGCAGCACCCUGAGGCUCUCUGCAGACCAGUGGAGGAAGGUGGGCUCUGUGACCUGUGAGGCCACCCAGGGCUCCCAGACUCCGCUCUCAGAGACUCUGAGGAGAGACCAGUGUUCCCAGUCCUGAUCUGACUCACUGCUUUUACUCUGCUACUGCUCUCAGUCUGCUCUCUGUAACUCUCUCUAUCUCACACCUUCUUGCUUGUGUUGAUGUUUUCAACAUUUUAAAAACAAUAAAUAUUGGAUCAUGUGUAUUAUAAAA